GUUUAAUGUGUUUCUGUUUCAAAGGUUCUUAAAACUUCCAAAUUGUGCAAGUUGCAGAACUGUGACUUGGUUUAUAAAUCAAUACUCAAGAAUAACACUCAAAACUUCACUAACAGCCCCUGUUAGGCUGCUACUGUUCUUUUCACUAUUCACAUCCCAUAACAGCCCACAGCAUCUGCCUUUUCCAGCAAUUCUUAAACUCACUUUAUUAUUACAAAAUUGCAGUACCCAAAAUAACUAUCAGUAGCACUUUAAAGCAC
rnacentral:misc_RNA from 1 species